UUAAUGGUUAAAAUAUGAAGUAAGUUUAAAAAACUUACUCUCAGAAUAAAUAGAUAUCUCGUAAUAUAUUACUAAACAUAAACCUGUUAUUUUAUGUUUUUAUGAUAUUUUUUAAUUAAAUAAUAUAUUUUAUUAAAUGGGACAAGAAAUUGGGAAGAAACGUGAACAAUUGAUCUCAACAAACAUGGAAAGAUACAGCUAUGUGACAUUGCACUUGUCAUUUCUUGGCCAUUGGCGUACUCAAUUCAAUUUCUUCUUCCUACCAUUUUAGGACUUUAUUUUCUUUGUUUCAAUUACCAAACCCUACAAAUAAAGCAUUCCAUUUUUUCUAUCAAUUCAUCUUAUGAGGUUGGAGUCACACUCCUUAUCUUCCAAAAUUCCCUACUUCAUGUUUUCAGACAUAUAAAACAUAAAUUAUAUUAUAUUAACUUUAUAUUUUCUUAUAAAAAAUAAGAAAGUAAUACAACUUUUCAGGGUGUACACUGACUCAUCUCUAUUUCCUUACACUGAAAGUAAUACAACUUUUCAACGGUAUUUGAAAUUAGUGGUGUACCUACCUGCAAAGUAGGUGAUGUUGCCCCCAGCACUGCAUCCCAUUAAGAAGCAAUUGUUAAAGUCUGCAUAUUGUCGAAUCCAAGGCUCGGACUUAGUGGGGUCUAGUGCUUGAUUUCUGAGCCAGUUAAUUGCGUCGACGGCAUCGUCAUAUGCAGCAGGUAGACGGUGUUCAGGUGCAAGGCGGUAUUCAACGGAGGCAACAAUGGCGGGGAAUUGUGAAGCAAAGGAAGAGCAAGAAUCAUGGAAGACACUAGAAGAAGCAUGAAAGAGGAUGAAGCCGCCACCGUGGAAGUAAAGAAUGACGGGGAGUUUGACGGAGGGAGAUGGAGGAGGGUGAGGGAGGAAGAGGCGGAGGGAGGUGUUGGUGGUUGGGUUUAAGGGGUCUGUGGGUGGGCUGGGUGAUGAAGGGACAAUUGGAACGACGUCGUAGCUCCGGGUAAGGGUGUCGUUUUGGUUGAGGUCAAUCUUCAGGACGUCGUAAAGUUUUGAGGGUUCGAAAGGUGGUGCUUCUUCUGCCAUUGUUGAUUAUAGAUGCUUCCUUUCAGUUUCAGAGUAUAUGUGUCAAAUGUUUUGGAUAUACUCUUAGAAUAGAUAUAUGAUCAAUAAAUAUACGUAGACAUCGAAAAAUAUAUAGGUUUAAAAUGUAAUUUCAUUCUAAUCAAGUGUAUAUAUGUGUCGUAUUGUAUUUUCUUUUGUUUUUGAAGCAAUUGUCUCUAUUAAUCGAAAGAAUCAUAAUUCACAAUUAAUAU